rnacentral:rRNA from 1 species
GUCCACGCCGUAAACGAUGGGUGCUAGGUGUGGGGGGUGUCGACUCCCCCUGUGCCGAAGCUAACGCAUUAAGCACCACGCCUGGGGGAGUACGGCCGCAAGGCUAAAACUCAAAGGAAUUGACGGGGGCCCGCACAAGCAGCGGAGCAUGUGGUUUAAUUCGACGCAACGCGAAGAACCUUACCAAGGCUUGAAAUGCUCGGGAAAGCCGGAGAAAUUCGGCCCUCCUUCGGGACUCGAGUACAGGUGGUGCAUGGCUGUCGU